rnacentral:tRNA from 1 species
GCAGCCGUAGCUUAGCUGGAUAGAGCACUUGACUACGAAUCAAGAGGUCGCACGUUCGAAUCGUGCCGGUUGCGCCA